AGCUCCAAUAGCGUAUACUAAUGUUGUUGCAGUUAAAAAGCUCGUAGUCGGAUUUCAGUUUGUUGUCUGGUUCUCAACUCGAGGGCCUGACGGCAAUCUUCAUUGAUACGACCCUUCGUGCCCUUCAUUGUGGCGUGUCUGGCUAGUAUCUCUUUUACUUUGAGAAAAUUAGAGUGUUCAAAGCAGGUUUUCGCCUGAAUAUUACUCUUGGAAUAAUGCUAUAGGACUUUGGUUCUAAUUUGUUGGUGACUUGGGACCGGA
rnacentral:rRNA from 1 species